rfam:Terriglobus roseus DSM 18391, complete genome.
AGGCGCGUAGCUCAGUUGGUUAGAGCGCUACCUUGACACGGUAGAGGUCAGGAGUUCGAGUCUCCUCGUGCCUA